rnacentral:rRNA from 1 species
UCUUUAAAGAAAGCGUAAUAGCUCACUGGUCGAGUCGCCCGGUGCCGACAAUAUAACGGGGCUCACCAUGAUACCGAAGUUACGGGUAGGCGGCGCAAGCCGUUCUACGGUAGGAAAGCAUUCUGAAUCCAUUGAAGGUUGAGCGAGAGCACAGCUGGAGGAUUCGGAAGAGACUCUGCCAGCAUAAGUCGAAAAACCAGGUGAGAACCCUGGUCGCCGUAAGUCUAAGGAUUCCUGAGAAAGGUUAAUCCGCUCAGGGUUAGUCGGUGCCUAAGGUGAGGCCGAAAGGCGUAGCCGAUGGACAGCAGGUUAAUAUUCCUGCACUACCGAAACUCGAUCAAGACCGAAGGGGGGACGCAGACCGUAAGCCGCUGGUGUAAUGGUUUAAACCAGAUGGUGAAGGGAGAGUCGGAGAGGCAAAUCCGCCGACUCGUCUGCCAGGAAAAGCCUCUAAGGAGAGUUAGGUAACCGCACCACAAACCGACACAGGUGGACGAGAUGAAUAUUCUAAGGCGCUCGGGUGAUGGUAUGUUCAGGAACUAGGCACAUUAGCUCCGUAACUUCGGGAGAAGAAGUGCCCUCGCAAGAGGGUCGCAGUGAAGAGUCUCAGGCGACUGUUUAACAAAAACACAGGUCUCUGCUAAGUCGAAAACGACGUAUAGGGGCUGACGCCUGCCCGGUGCCGGAAGGUUAAAGGGAGAGGUUAGCGCAAGCGAAGCUUUGAACUGAAGCCCCGGUGAACGGCGGCCGUAACAAUAACGGUCCUAAGGUAGCGAAAUUCCUUGUCGGGUAAGUUCCGACCUGCACGAAUGGCGUAACGAUCUGAGAACUGUCUUAACAUGCCGCCCGGCGAACUUGUGGUCCCGGUGAAGACGCCGGGUGCCCGCCACUAGACGAAAAGACCCCGUGCACCUUUACUAUACUUUUUCAUUGAUUUAUGGGGCCAUCUGCGCAGCAUAGGUGGGAGGCUUUGAUUCCAGGUUCUCGGACUUGGAGGAGCCAACGGUGAGAUACCACCCUGAUGGUUCUGUGAAUCUAACCUGUUCCCGUGAUCCGGGAAAGGGACAAUGGAAGACGGGUAGUUUGACUGGGGCGGUCGCCUCCUAAAUUGUAACGGAGGCGCGCGAAGCUAGGUUCAGGCUGUUUGGAAAUCAGCCGACGAGUGCAAAAGCAUAAACCUGGUUAACUGUAAGACCAACAAGUCGAGCAGAUACGAAAGUAGGCUUUAGUGAUCCGGUGAUUCUGUAUGGAAGGGUCAUCGCUCAACGGAUAAAAGGUACGCCGGGGAUAACAGGCUGAUC